GCCGGGCAUGGUGGCGCAUGCCUGUAAUCUCAGGUACUCAGGAGGCUGAGGCAGGAGAAUCACUUGUACUUGGGAGGUGGAGGUUGCAGUGAGUCGAGAUCAUGCUACUGCACUCCAGCCUAAGCAACAGAGUGAAACUCUGUCUCAA
rnacentral:SRP_RNA from 1 species